rnacentral:misc_RNA from 1 species
GAAAUGCGAUACUUGGUGUGAAUUGCAGAAUCCCGUGAACCAUCGAGUCUUUGAACGCAAGUUGCGCCCGAAACCUUCUGGUCGAGGGCACUUCUGCUUGGGCGUCACGCAACGCGUCUCCCCCAAACCAUCCCAUCUUGUGUGGGAAGGGGGAGGAGGAUGGUUUCCUGUGCCUCACCUGGCAUGGCUGGUCUAAAAUAGGAGCCUCGGAGUUAUGCACUACUGCAGCAAUUGGUGGUGGACAAGGCGUAUGCCUCGAAUGCAAUCUUGUGUCGUGUAGUGCAUAGCAAUUGUGGGCUCGUCGGACCCUUAGUUAUUCCCAUUGGGAAACAAACCUUCGCGACCCCAAGUCAGGCGGGGCUACCCGCUGACUUUAA